AAUAAAUGAAAGUCAUUGCCCAGUUCCCAUCCCGCCAUAUAACAUCAUAUGUCCCCCAAAACAAAAGACAAUGACCCAUCCUUUCCGUAAAUAUAAAUCACAUAAACAACAGUAAUAACAAACAUCAUAAACAUGAUAUAAGUGCCAAACUUUGUUAAAUAACCACAAUAGGUGUAUACCUGGAUACCCCUACCACCCACCAGGUUCUGAGCCACCACCGAGCUCGAAAUCUACCAAAGUUUGUAACGAACCAUUUAACCCAACUUUUCACCAGCAGCUUAACUGCUCUAUUCUAUUAACACCAACCCAGAGCCUGUUUGUCCCCUAACUUUUCUCUCUCUAGCCCCGCCGCUGUGACCAAAAGGGAGCGAACAACCCUUACCUGUACAAAUGGGAGGGACAACUUAGGCCAGGUAAGCAGAUUAAAA